ACCGGGACAUGGUGGUGGACGACAAUGUUAAGAAAUCUGGAGAUGUCAUCGGGGGCCUGGGAAGAGUUAUCUUUUCUUUUUAACGACUUUCCCACCCUAAAAUUGGUUCAACCAGAGAUAGGGUCCAACAUAUGAAAGAUCACCACACGUCUUAUGGUGUUUGGUGCCCCCUCGACAACCAUUGUAAAUAUGGUGAACCAAGUACCAUCCAUGCCCGAUCUUUCUCAUAUCUGCCUCGGAUUU
rnacentral:ncRNA from 1 species